GGCCGGUUAGCUCAGCUAGCUAGAGCGUGGUGCUAAUAACGCCAAGGUCAUGGGUUCCAUUCCCAUACGGGCCG
rnacentral:tRNA from 1 species